rnacentral:rRNA from 1 species
AGCAGUGGGGAAUAUUGGACAAUGGGCGAAAGCCUGAUCCAGCCAUGCCGCGUGUGUGAAGAAGGUCUUCGGAUUGUAAAGCACUUUAAGUUGGGAGGAAGGGCAUUAACCUAAUACGUUAGUGUUUUGACGUUACCGACAGAAUAAGCACCGGCUAACUCUGUGCCAGCAGCCGCGGUAAUACAGAGGGUGCAAGCGUUAAUCGGAAUUACUGGGCGUAAGGCGCGCGUAGGUGGUUUGUUAAGUUGGAUGUGAAAUCCCCGGGCCCAACCUGGGAACUGCAUUCAAAACUGACUGACUAGAGUAUGGUAGAGGGUGGUGGAAUUUCCUGUGUAGCGGUGAAAUGCGUAGAUAUAGGAAGGAACACCAGUGGCGAAGCGACCACCUGGACUAAUACUGACACUGAG